AUCAAAAUAUGCUCAAAAUUUAGUUUGUUUGGAUUUAGAUUAUUUUGAAACGUUUAAUUCAAACCUAAUCAAAACCAUGGCAUAUUUUUGUUCUAUGAGGAUGAUACCCUAUUGUCUCUUCCUUUUUGUAACCGGUCAUUUCCUUGUUCUUUGUAGUUAAUUCUUCUUUGAUCAAACACGAAGUAAAUAAAUAACUAAAAAUAUUAGGAAGAAAGCAUAAAUGUUUCUUUUUUCAAUGUUGAAGCUAGGCUAAAUAUGGAUAUAUAUUUUAAACUUUUUGUGAUUUAAAAAGGGA
rnacentral:misc_RNA from 1 species